CGAGGAGGACGGACGGUCGCCGCCGCGCUUUAGGGCGUGGGGGAGGAAAGUCCGAGCACCUCAUGGAUCAGAGUGCCUGCUAACGGCAGGGCGGGGCGACCCGAUAGACAGUGCAACAGAAAAUAAACCGCCGGACCGUCGAGAAAUCGGCGCAUCGGUAAGGAUGAAAAGGUGCGGUAAGAGCGCACCGCCCGGAUGGCGACAUGCGGGGCAAGGUAAACCUCACUCGGUGCAAGACCAAAUAGGGAAGCUGUGACCGGAUUCGGGUAGCUUCCGGGUUGGUUGCUUGAGCCUGCGGGCAACUGCAGGCCUAGAUGGAUGGCCGUCGCCGGUUUCGCUUUCGAGCGGAGCCGGUACAGGACUCGGCUUAUAGUCCGCCUCGCGGC
rnacentral:RNase_P_RNA from 1 species